UAUNGCACAAUGGGGGAAACCCUGAUGCAGCNACGCCGCGUGAAGGAAGAAGUAUCUCGGUAUGUAAACUUCUAUCAGCAGGGAAGAAAAUGACGGUACCUGACUAAGAAGCCCCGGCUAACUACGUGCCAGCAGCCGCGGUAAUACGUAGGGGGCAAGCGUUAUCCGGAUUUACUGGGUGUAAAGGGAGCGUAGACGGUGUUGCAAGUCUGAUGUGAAAGGCGGGGGCUCAACCCCUGGACUGCAUUGGAAACUGUGAUACUCGAGUGCCGGAGAGGUAAGCGGAAUUCCUAGUGUAGCGGUGAAAUGCGUAGAUAUUAGGAGGAACACCAGUGGCGAAGGCGGCUUACUGGACGGUAACUGACGUUGAGGCUCGAAAGCGUGGGGAGCAAACAGG
rnacentral:rRNA from 1 species